rnacentral:rRNA from 1 species
UACGAAGGGGGCUAGCGUUGCUCGGAAUUACUGGGCGUAAAGGGCGCGUAGGCGGAUAGUUUAGUCAGAGGUGAAAGCCCAGGGCUCAACCUUGGAAUUGCCUUUGAUACUGGCUAUCUUGAGUACGGGAGAGGUGUGUGGAACUCCGAGUGUAGAGGUGAAAUUCGUAGAUAUUCGGAAGAACACCAGUGGCGAAGGCGACUUACUGGACACAUAUUGACGCUGAGGUGCGAAAGCGUGGGGAGCAAACAGG